rnacentral:tRNA from 1 species
GCCGGGAUGGCGGAAUUGGUAGACGCACGGGACUCAAAAUCCCGCGGUGGUAACACCAUGGGGGUUCGAUUCCCCCUCCCGGCA